rnacentral:rRNA from 1 species
AUUGAACGCUGGCGGCAGGCUUAACACAUGCAAGUCGAGCGAGCGGCGGACGGGUGAGUAAUGUCUGGGAAACUGCCUGAUGGAGGGGGAUAACUACUGGAAACGGUAGCUAAUCCCGCAUACCAUCAGCUGUGCCCAGAUGGGAUUAGCUAGUAGGUGGGGUAAUGGCUCACCUAGGCGACGAUCCCUAGCUGGUCGGAGAGGAUGACCAGCCAAACGGGAAGUGGGACAGGGUCCAGACUCGUACGGGGGGCAGAAGGGGGAAUAAUUGCAAAAUGGGCGCAGGCCGAAGGCAGCCAGGCCGGGUGUGGAAAGAGGGCCUUGGGGUUGUAAAGAACUUUCGGCGAGGAGGCGUUACUCGCAGAAGAAGCACCGGCUAACUACGUGCCAGCAGCCGCGGUAAUUC